rnacentral:rRNA from 1 species
GAUGAACGCUGGCGGCGUGCCUCAAACAUGCAAGUCGAGCGAGGCUAUGAGUUACCGCAAGGUAAGGCAUAGCCUAGCGGCGAACGGGUGAGUAACACGUGGGUAACCUACCUGGAAGACAGGGAUAACGAUUCGAAAGGGUCGCUAAUACCUGAUAAUAUCCAUCUGCCGGAUGGCGGAGGGAAGAAAGGGGAAACCCGCUUUCAGAUGGGCCCGCGUCCCAUCAGCUAGUUGGUAAGGUAAAGGCUUACCAAGGCGACGACGGGUAGCCGGUCUGAGAGGAUGUACGGCCACACUGGGACUGAGAUACGGCCCAGACUCCUACGGGAGGCAGCAGUUGGGAAUCUUAGGCAAUGGACGAAAGUCUGACCUAGCGACGCCGCGUGAGGGAAGAAGGCCUUCGGGUUGUAAACCGUCUGUCAUGGGGAAGAAGGAAGUGACGGUACCCCAAGAGGAAGCCCUGCUAACUACGUG